rnacentral:rRNA from 1 species
ACACAUGCAAGUCGAGGGGCAGCAUGGUCUUAGCUUGCUAAGGCCGAUGGCGACCGGCGCACGGGUGAGUAACACGUAUCCAACCUGCCGUCUACUCUUGGACAGCCUUCUGAAAGGAAGAUUAAUACAAGAUGGCAUCAUGAGUUCACAUGUUCACAUGAUUAAAGGUAUUCCGGUAGACGAUGGGGAUGCGUUCCAUUAGAUAGUAGGCGGGGUAACGGCCCACCUAGUCUUCGAUGGAUAGGGGUUCUGAGAGGAAGGUCCCCCACAUUGGAACUGAGACACGGUCCAAACUCCUACGGGAGGCAGCAGUGAGGAAUAUUGGUCAAUGGGCGCAGGCCUGAACCAGCCAAGUAGCGUGAAGGAUGACUGCCCUAUGGGUUGUAAACUUCUUUUAUAAAGGAAUAAAGUCGGGUAUGUAUACCCGUUUGCAUGUACUUUAUGAAUAAGGAUCGGCUAACUCCGUGCCAGCAGCCGCGGUAAUACGGAGGAUCCGAGCGUUAUCCGGAUUUAUUGGGUUUAAAGGGAGCGUAGAUGGAUGUUUAAGUCAGUUGUGAAAGUUUGCGGCUCAACCGUAAAAUUGCAGUUGAUACUGGAUAUCUUGAGUGCAGUUGAGGCAGGCGGAAUUCGUGGUGUAGCGGUGAAAUGCUUAGAUAUCACGAAGAACUCCGAUUGCGAAGGCAGCCUGCUAAGCUGCAACUGACAUUGAGGCUCGAAAGUGUGGGUAUCAAACAGGAUUAGAUACCCUGGUAGUCCACACGGUAAACGAUGAAUACUCGCUGUUUGCGAUAUACGGCAAGCGGCCAAGCGAAAGCGUUAAGUAUUCCACCUGGGGAGUACGCCGGCAACGGUGAAACUCAAAGGAAUUGACGGGGGCCCGCACAAGCGGAGG